UGGGGAAUUUUGCACAAUGGGGGAAACCCUGAUGCAGCGACGCCGCGUGAUUUAGAAGGCCUUCGGGUUGUAAAAAUCUUUUCUAUGGGAAGAAAAUGACAGUACCAUAGGAAUAAGGACCGGCUAAUUACGUGCCAGCAGCCGCGGUAAUACGUAAGGUCCGAGCGUUGUCCGGAAUCAUUGGGCGUAAAGGGUACGUAGGCGGGUAAGCAAGUUAGAAGUGAAAUCCUAUAGCUCAACUAUAGUAAGCUUUUAAAACUGCUCAUCUUGAGGUAUGGAAGGGAAAGUGGAAUUCCUAGUGUAGCGGUGAAAUGCGCAGAUAUUAGGAGGAAUUCCGGUGGCGAAGGCGACUUUCUGGCCAUAACCUGACGCUGAGGUACGAAAGCGUGGGUAGCAAACAGG
rnacentral:rRNA from 1 species